rnacentral:lncRNA from 1 species
UUCACAUGUUUUUCUUGAAGAAUCUUUGAUCAUACAUGUCUAAAAUAAUGUUUUAACAUGGUUGAAAUGAGAUUGUAAUUUGUUCUCACACAAAUCCAUGUUUUGAGAUCAUUAUACCUUAGAAUAUUUCAUGUUUUGCACCUUUCUUUGGAUUUUCAAUAUGUAGGAAUCAAGCAUAAUUGACUCUUUAGCAUUGCUAGUCAUGUCACAACCCGGUACCCCCCUUGAGCCCGUGACAAAUGCCGUGACAUCUCGGUUGACAUUCGUUACCCAGAGUGCCAACCGGAACCUCGCAAGGCUUUAGUACCAUUUUUUUUUCAUCUCCCCUAUGAGUAAUCAUCGCCAAACCUCGUUUUUAAAGAAUUUUAAGCUUUUUCCCUUUCCAAACUGUGGAAAAAUAAUUUUCUCCUCACAGGGGCAUUUUCAUCAUUUUUCCUCGAAAUUUUUCGAACCCGACUAAAAAUGUAGUAGAUGAGUGGAAAACACAUAUUUCAUGAUUUAAAAUAAAGUUGGGUGUCUAAAACAUUUAUUGAAAAUGAUAUUGCAACUAUUUGAAUAAAAUAAAAAUAUUCAAUAAGAUAUUCUAAUUUCUUGUAAAACAAUAUUUAUAGAGUCAUCGGUAAAUAAUUUUUGUAAUGUAAAAGCUAAAUAAAUUCAUACGUACUAUAAUACAGAUAACCGAGAUAUGAAAUUUACUUUACAAUGACUCAUGGGCCCACAAGGAACAAAAGUGCACAAAGGCAGUAAACCUACAGUUUUUGGAGUAGUAAAGUCGACUAUAAUCCUUGACGAUAUCUGCUAUCCACAGGCUACCUCAGGCCUGAAAUGGUUGAAAAUGAGGGCGGUGAGAUUAUAAAUCCCAGUGAGUAAAUACAUAUCAUCUAAACCAUCUAAAGUUGAGUAAAUGGAGAUAGAUAAAAUAGUUUAACAUACUGAAAUUCAUCACCUUUUAACUUGUUUCAACCAAAUAAAAUCAAUUCAUAUAAAUCGAGUAAUUAACAUGGCUUAUGAAUUUUUUAAAACUUUGGCUCGUGCCAAAAUCAGUAUCAUACUCAAUCAUCAGGGAUACCUUGGCCGAGGGCUAUCCCAAACUGAGUCCGCCAAGGCUGUUAAAAAGUUAUGUACGCAUAAAUCAUGUUUUUAUUUUGAAAACAUAGCCGUUUCUUGGCGUUGGCCGAGUUCACCCUCACGUGGUGGUUGGGCGUGAAGUGAACUCUAAAGUUUGACCUCGGGAGUUACCCUACGCGCCUCUCUAAUUGAGGUACAUAUAUAUGACCAGGUUCCGUGCCCCUCUAAUAGGUUGGUCUACAGAACCAGCCCACUGCAACAAGCUAAACCCACCAUACAAUAAAAAUUCAACAACAUGAUAUGGCAAUUUUAUCAUUAUCCAGCUUAUCAAGGAAAACAACAGUUUAUACAUUUCAACACAAAUACCAAUUCAGCCAUUCAUGCAAAUAUUGUCAUAAGCCAAUAAAUUAAAACCAUAAAUUCACAAUACAUCAAAUGGUCUCCAAUUACUCUAUUUUCAAAGCCUUCAUUCAAUUUCAAGACCAUUUAUGAAAUCAUUUUGUUUAAACACAUUUUGUUUAUAAAACCUAAAAAUUUACCAUUUAAACUCAUUGUCCAUUAAAUCAAAAAAACAAAUAAAAACCACUCUAGAUAAUUAAGACGAUAGUAAGGUUACUCAUAGUACUAGGAGUUCGAUAUACUCCUAUUCCCGAUCUUCAGGCACAAUCUCUUUACUCUUGUUAGAGGGCUCACCACCUAUACAUCAUACGUGACACGAAUUUCAAUAAAUUGUGUCAAUUUAUCAUAAACUAUUUCAGGCUCUAUAAAUCUAUAUGAAUGCACGAAAUGUGAUGCAAAAUGUUCGAAUAACCACUUAAAUACGGUAUUCGACCUAAAUCGCACUAUUCUCGGUGUAAUUGGCUAAAACCUCCAAUUUAACUCCAAAUAGAUUUCUUUCACUUUCUACACUCCAAUUAUACUUAAAAUACCUCAAUGACUGUGAAUAUGAUUCAAUUUAUCAGUCCGAACCACAAAUCGCACAUGUCUAUACAUUAGGUAAAAAUUCAGAUUUUCAUGGCAAAAUUUCUCAUUAAAUUUCUAGCCUCACCAAUCAUUAAAUACCACCAAAAUAUCAUUAAAUAUCAUCAAUAUCAGCCUCAAUAUCCUCCCUAAAAAUUUGGCCUCUUGUGGGUUUGUGAAGAACAAAGUGAUUCCUUGCCAGAUUUUCAUACUUUCCAUUACCAAACAACCAAAAACACUUAAUUAGCUUGAAAUCUAGCAAAAUCAAUGCUCAAAACCUCUCCUCUCAAAUUCGGCCAGCAUGGGUUCAUCAUGCAAACUUGAGUUCUAAGCAUGGAAAAUGAAAAAGAAAGCAUGGGUAGUGUAAAUCACAAGAUAAAAUCACAAAAUUUUACCUUUAUUAGCUUAAUCCCUUGAAAUCCCACACUUUUUCUUCAAUUUUCCCACCUAGGGUUUGUGUUCUUUCCUUUCCUCUUCACUUCAUGCUUUGG